GCCAGCCAGGAAGGAGGAGGCAGCCAGAGUGGCCACCUCUGUUCUUUGCAGCAGAAGACCCCCUGCUGCCAGUGUGUCAAUAAGGAAACCUUUUCUUAUGCCACCCUUUGAUAUGCUGGACAUGUGUCAGAAGAAAAACAUGGGCCAUCCAUAUCUUAUCCUAUAUUAAGAAGAGUCGUUGAGAAACAUACCUUCAUUACUGCGACAGUCAUGUCAAAAAGAAUCGACUUAUUGUCAGCGCAUCUAACCUAACAAUGUUAAUGGACCCUUCAGACAUCUUCUCCUCCUCAUUUGUUUCUUACAUGCCUAUCAAAGAGACAAUGCAAGUAGAUGUUACCAGGAGAUACAUGGGGAAGACAUGGUCUGAUGAGCCAUCCAUCCUUCAUAUCAUCUAGGUAGGCUACGGCUCUUGUUUUGCAAAUAUCUGAUGCAGCCAGUACUGUGUAUGAGUCAAGAAACGGCUUGAGAGAAAGCUCAGAAGAGAAUCAUAUUGCUGGCAUUAGCUUGCUUCUUCUACUAUAGAAAUGAUCAUGGCAAUGUGAAGAGAAAAUUGAAGCCACACACACACGAGCUGUAAGUAUUUGACAAACUUGUAUGUCAGAUAGAAUGUGGAACCCUAAUGUUUAUAAACAUAGAUCAUUAAUUCCUCCCCACCCCUUUCAUUAAGGCAAACACAAAAGGCACAAUCCUGUAAAGGUUAGUCACAUAGUCGAGCCCUGUUCCCGAGAGUUGUUCUCUGCUCAUUUUUGCUAAGUUAAGCAAAUAGCUUCUUUCUGCCACAUGGCAUAUGCUUCUCUAUAGCUUCAUCUAUAAACCUUUGAAAAUUCGACAAAUAUUGCCACUUUCUAGAUGAAUCUGGUAAUGCUUCUACACACAUGCAUAUUGCAGAGCAUGGCAGGCUAGCAUGAUAUCACUGAUAUGGCAUCCACAUGAGCAAGGUUCUUGUGUCAUAGGGUUAAUAUAGAUUUUUAGGCUCCGGGGUGUGUGGCAGAUCUAGUCCAGCUCUAUGUCUAGUUUUUGCCACUAGUCAUUUGGAAAUACACAUCAGUGGUCAACAUCCACACUAAUGCUGCACACAUGGAGCCCUGAAACUGCAUGUGCCACAGCUGCAUGCCCAUUUCUUAACUCUGCAUGCUCAAAUGCAGUAGGGCAAUUUUCACCAGUCUCCCCUUUUCUGGGAAGCACUCUGUGCAAAGCACAAAUAUGAUGGUCAGGGACAUAUUUGCAUGUUUGCACAGAGACCUCCCAGGGGAAGGGGAGAUGAGCUAAAAUGGUCCCCACUGUGCUUGAGCUUGCAAGCUUUAGAAGAGAUCACGUAGCUACUACAUGCGUGCUUCUUCUUCUUCUUCUUGGUUCCACAUGCACAGCAUUAUUAUGGAAGUUGGCCAUUAUGUUCUGAUCAUUUCCCAUUUCCACUUGCAUGUAUUUUAAUGAGACAAGCAAAACCCAAACAAAACAAAAUGCAUGUGCACACUUCAUUCAUUUGUAAAGCAUGUAUUCUGAAGAUGGAUAUUAUACCAAAAUGCCCCCCCCGCAAUAAUCACAGAGCAAUGAUGGACCCAGGUUUAACUAUCAAGCAUAUUUUUCAAAUGAGCAAACUUCUUAAAUAAACAAGAAGGGGCCUCUUUUACCCUUAAUGUGAGAAAAACGAUACAAGUUACUUUUGCAGAGGAAAAAAAGUGUUAAUGUGCCAACAUCAAUUGCAUUCCAUUGGCCUUCUAUUCAUUAAACUUCUAUUGCUCUGCACAUAAUUCAUCUCAGUUCAGUUAUGCUCCUCAAGGGUCUGCUACUAAAAUAAAAAAUGCAUUGGUUAUAUGUCGCCAAACAAGGUGCUCUUGGCUCCAAACAUCUACUUACACCUAUUGACAAAGAAAAGCAGAUAUUCUGUGCCAAAAAACAAAUGAGCAUUUUUUGUCCUUUCCAAACAGGAGGCCAUUAGAGUAUAUAACAAAUAUGUUGUUAUCCAAAGUUUCCAUUUGCUGAAAGCUUUCAUACUUACAGGCCACAGAAACAUUGGAAAUUCCCAGGGAAUGUAUUGCAGAUUUAUAUUGUGUAGGCCAUCAGCAAAGCCAUAGUCUUUAAAACAUGUGAAACUGUUACGUUAGCAUGAAACUUAGAAAAUGUGGCAAUAUUAAUUCCCUUUCCCAUAGUGUAUGUUCUCCUCUUCAGCUCUGUAUCUCUGAAGGGUGAGAGUGGGAGAGAGACCACUUAUUUUUAUCAGACUGAUACGGAAAAGGAGCAUAUUGUGUUAUAUUUAUACAAAGUGGUAGGUAUUGAGUAGUAAACUACUCAAUUCCAUCUUGUCUGCUACUUAGAGAUACUGCUAUUAGAUACUUAGAGAUCCAUUAAGGCUGGAUGUGUGUGUGAAAGGCCAUUUUGGAUGCAAUACAAUGGUAUUUUGGGAAACAAAAUUCCCACGGUUGAGAAUAUGCACGCCAUGCUCCUGCACUUCAUAUGCAGCACCAAACAGAUCAUCAGCUCGGACAACACCAAUAAUCUCCUUGGGAAGGGCUGAUUCCAUGCUCUCCUCCCCUCUCCUGCCAGCGGAUGAUUAACACUGAGCCAUGUGUUGGGCUGAGCAGAACCUCAAACACAGAGGUUUGAGCAGAACCUCAAGCCCAUGUGCUGAGUGUGCUGCUGCACAUGAAGACCUAGGGAUCAGUGCUAAUAUAUUUUAGCUGAAAUGUUUGUUCCAUGAACAGUUUGUCUCACAUGUCAAUAUUUUUUUCAGUGUUGCCUUCUUUCAACAUUUUCCAAUAAAAAUGAAAGACUUCAAUUAAACCUUUUGAAAAUGCAUGAGUUUCUUACUGCUGUUGACUGAAAUACAGUUUCAAGAGCAUAAAUUCUAGACCAGCAUUAAAGGAGAUAUCCAAUAAUCAAAGCAGUGUCCAUAUUUAUCAGGCUAAUCUAAUUUUAUCAGUUUUAAAUGUAGAAUCUCCAUUCUUUAAGUACAGUAUUUAAAAAAUGGGAUGCACAAAUUGCACACUACUAUUCUUCAGCCUUUUUUCAUAAGAGGAGGAAAGAGGAAGGCAUAGUAAGAGAGAAAAAAGAGAGGCAGAAAUGCUUGCAUCCAGAAGGAAAAUUGCAAAGAGAAAGGAGGAGGAAAGCAGACAUACAUGGCAAUAAUAUAAAGUUGUUUCUGUAGCUUGUGGUCAGAGGUAGGUCUGAGAAAAUUGGACACUAUUGUUCUAAACACAAGGCUACAAUCCUGAAGCCAAUGGGCUUCCAAUGGAAUCAAUGUUCAAUCAGCAUUUUUAUACUCAUUCCAUGAUUUGAUUAUUGAUAAUUCAUAUUUGUUAAUUUGAUCACAAUUGCUGCAGAACUCAUGAUCAUAUUUGUCAUGUGGCACAGGGGACACUUUGAAAUUAGAAAAUGUUAACCACUGAUUUUAUGGAAUUAGAAUUAGGUUUUGGACUAUAAGAAUACAACAUUACUUUCCCUGAUCCAUAAAACAAUAAUCCCUGUGAUGCAUACACCAUGCUCCAACUUGAAUCAGAAUAACAUGCAGUUAUUCUGAUUCUAUGAUGUUAUGAUUCUGUGAUUCUGUUUCCAUAGAGGGAGUUGAUCUGUCUACAAAAAAAUGUGCCUCUACUCAGUUUUGUUCACUGAAACAGGAGGGGAAGCUUCUCCACACCUUUGCAGGAGGUGUUUGAUAGUGAUAACCUUUGUUUAUCACUUGAGGCUCCAUGCCAACAUUUGAGGAAAACCUGAUGAAAGAUGUGUUGCAGAGUGUGUUCUGUCUAAGGAUGUGCAUGGAACUGGCAGCCUUAGAGCCCCAACUGCAGCAUGGCCAGGGAGAGGAGCCCUGUUGCAUUGCAGCAGGCUGCUUCUUCGCUGCCCACACAAUGUAUUGUGGGAUACAGGAAGACUUCCUCCUCCUGAUUCCAUGGCAGGCAAUUGCUGCAGCACCAGUCAUGUGGAUGUGUGAGCAGCAGCACCCCAAAGAGGAGCAGAUCAUGUGGGGGAAUGUAGGUCAAAUUUUGUCUUCCCCCCAGCCCGCCCCAGUCCCAGGAGUCAUGUGAAUGACCUUAAUACAUUCCAAGCUGUAGCUGUUGUAGAUCCCAACAAGAUGCACCAUAGACAACCCUGGUUUUAUAUCCUCCACACUAUUCUGCGCAGGUUUCUGAGGAAUUAAAUUUCCUUGAGCUGAGUGGGCCUCCAUCCCAAGGAUGUGUGCAUGUGCAUAGGAUUGCAACCCUAAUAAGAAUUCUAUACUAGAGUGGAUUUCCCUUCAAAUAUGAUAAUGUUUGCAUCACUUCAGAGGUCAGUAGAAGUGAACAAAUUUAAAAUCUUAACUUAGUAAGGAGUCAUGCAAUUUCCAUUCAUGAAAGCAUAGUUGCCUUCAGCCUCGAUCCCAGCAAAGAUAUAAGCCAGCGGAGAACCACCUUUGCAAUUUCCAAGACUCCCAGUGUUAACUGAUACAACUGAUACCUAGCCCCAUUAACGGAUACACUUUUAAAUACCCCAUUCAUGUAUAGCAGCUCAAUGAAAAUAUUAUUCCAUUAAUGCUUUGCAACUGCAGCAUAACUCUAGUGGCAGAAAAUUGCUCACCAGGGAUAUGAAAUCUCACAGACAAGCCCACAUGAAAAAUGCAAGCUUACUCAUUAAAAUUGCUGUUAUUUUAAUAUGUGCUUGCUGCUGUCACUCAGGUAUUGGCAUCCAGCCUCAGGCCCCCAUGCUGAACCUGCUAGAGAAGCCAUGCACUUUCCUUGCAGUCUGAGCCUUGGGGCUCAGGAGAAUUUCUGAAGAUAGAUUUAUUGGAAGAGAUCAGGUUACAGAAUACCUCACUUUAGGUUUCCCCUUGAAAUUAAUGAUGCUAUUAGGAAUACUGAGGCUUCUUAGAGCUGUCACUUUAAAUUACAGCCAUUCUUGCUUUGACACUGCACCACAAGAGCCUCUCUAAGAAGCGGUGGUGUGGGGGAAAGGUAUCUGAUUCAAAAUAUAGGAAUGGUGCUCAAAAGGGCAGAUAUUUUCUUUUCCAAAAGAUUAGUCCUGACUGGAGCUAAUAGCAACAUACGUGUUUCUGUCCUUGGAGAAUUCUGCCACUUUCUGAAUCCACUUCAGUAAGGUAACAGGAGGAAAAUACUCAAACACCCCCUGAGUUACUAGGAACAACGAUUAAUUAUAGUGUCACAGAGUGAGAUACCUACUGCAAAGUGGUGUUCACCAGUAGUUUAGCCAAUGGGCAACAGGAGUGAACAGUAAGACCCCUGUGGGCAACAUCCUACUUCCCUCUUCCUGCCAUGAGGAAAUCUGUUUCCAUGGAAAGCAAAAUAAGACUUGGAAGGUAAUGUGUAGACACACAAAGGUGCUUUUAGGAGCUUUCCUCCACAGAGAUUCAGAAAACCUUUAAAAGGUCAGUGUUCACAGUGAUCAUGCUGGCCUAUGCCUUUGGAGGCCACGUAAGGGGGAAAAGAGAGAGGCAACAUGCUGCUGGUGGCAGUGUUGGCUAGAAGACAGAUGGCUGGGCUUGCCCUGAGGGAACCUGGUUUCAAAUCUAUGAUCAACCAUGAGGAAAAUCAGUGGGUGGCCUCAGGCAAUCACUCUCAUAACCAAAUUCACCUCGGAGGUUUAUUAUGGGGAUGCAGUGGAAUAGCCCCCAGGUACAUUGCCCUGGGCUAUUUGGGGAAGGGCAGGAAACACAAGUGUGUGUGUGUGUGUGUGUGUGUGUGUGUGUGUGUGUGUGUGUGUGUGAAGAAGCAAAUGAAGGGAUUUGUCUCAUCUAAAUGAUCACUUCCAAUACGUAUUUAUUAUAUUUAUAAUAAACAUGAUUUACUCAUGCCACAGUCCUUUUAAAGAAAUUAACACAUGGUCUUGAAAACAAGGAAUUGCUUUAUUGAGGGAUAACAAGGGGUGGGGGAGAAAAAGAAGCUUGUAAAUCCUGAGGCACACUAUCAGGCCACAGUACUAGAAAGGGGAAGAGGCUAGAGGGUGAAAGAAAGAGGCGGAAAAGCACUCAUCAUAGCUACGCGUGUCUAGCUAGGGGAAUCCAUCUCUUCGAUGGUUCAAACAUGAGGUGAGCAAAUGAGAUGCGCCCAGGCAGUGUGGGGUGCUGAGAUGGUAGGGUGCACGUGGAUGCACAGACAACAAGGGUGGCAAGUGUGGUGAAUGCAGGAGGCAAAGGUGAAAUGCCAUGUUUGAGGGAAGUUCUUAUAGGCAAAAACAUACCCCCAGGCAAGACUAAAGAGUUGCUCCUUGAGGUCCUCCUUGAGGAAUUGCUGGUGACUUUAGGAAUUUAGGACAUGAAUAUUGGGUAUUGAUUAGGUUAUAUCAGGGGCAGGGUGGCUCCCUGCCUGUAUGCACCUUUAGACAAAGAAAGAUUCACAAAAGAGAUAAUCUUAGGCAAUCACCUGAGAAGGAGGGGUGGCUCAUCACGCUGUCUGUCAUCACCAUUUUGAUAAGAGCUGGAAGGAAACGAGGUGAGACUUUUUUUAGCCUUGAAACUUCUUAUCAUUGUACAUGGGAGAAAGAGAGCUUGCAAAUUGCAUUUUAUCUCUUUUUGACCCUAAUUCAGGUCUGCUCUACAUAUCCCUCUGCCUAUGCUCAGGUGCAAUCAGAAAGGGGCAUUUCCUUCAGCCCAAUGUAAUCCUUUGCAAAUUGACCUGGAAGGCACUGUUAGGAAACAUCUUGCCAGAACGACCCUUUGUCUGGAAUGCAGCAGCCAGUGUGUCUCUUCCAAGCAGUCUAAGGGAAGAAAAUGGCUAAGUGGCUGUUUGAGAGGUACACUGAAGCACCCCAAAAUGGCAUGGCGACUGUGGCUCAUAAUAAUAGCUAAUGUGGCUGAAAUACAGCACAAAAUUUCAUGUUUUUCAUGUUUAGGUUGCAUUUCUUUCACCAUGAUGUUAAGGGCUUUCUUCUAUGUGUCCUGGAUUGAGCUCUUGUCCUUUGUCCUUUGUCCUUUGUGGUUUAUUUGGUAAGAACCUGCAGUUCACGCUACAUAUACUCUGUUGUGCCACAAAUAAAGAUAACAAAAUGCACAAGUCAAGAAACUGCAUACAGUAUUUAUUGGUUCAUGACUGCAGGAGUGAAGAGAGAGAGAGAGAGAGAGAGAGAGAGGUGCUAAUCACUCAAAAUCAUCUCCCAAAUAGAUUUUCUUCAAG